GAAAGUCUAAUGGGUAUAAAUUGACGUAGAUGCUUUUAUUUUAUUGGACCACUAUCCAUUCUUUAUUUGUCGAAAGAGCAGUUAAAACCUAUCUAUUUUUUAUAUCAUUUAUCUACUUUGAAACCAUUACUAUUAUAAUAUAUAAUAUUGAAAUCGGUUUUGUUUUCAAUCAAAAUUAAGCUAGGAGUCUCAUUAAGCAACCGCUAGUUUGAAUUGCCCAAGCAAAAAUUUCAUUGUUUUA
rnacentral:lncRNA from 1 species